ensembl:lncRNA
CUGGUGUGUAGGUCCUGUCUGUUUUCUGAGGGUGUCAGUACUAGGGCUGGUGUGUAGGUCCUGUCUGUUUUCUGAGGGUGUCAGUACUAGGGCUGGUGUGUAGAUCCUGUCUGUUUUCUGAGGGUGUCAGUCCUAGAGCUGGUGUCCUGUCUGUUUUCUGAGGGUGUCAGUACUAGGGCUGGUGUGUAGGUCCUGUCUGUUUUCUGAGGGUGUCAGUACCAGGGCUGGUGUGUAGGUCCGAUCUGUUUUCUGAGGGUGUCAGUACUUGGGCUGGUGUGUAGAUCCUGUCUGUUUUCUGAGGGUGUCAGUACCAGGGCUGGUGUGUAGAUCCUGUCUGUUUUCUGAGGGUUUCAGUACCAGGGCUGGUGUGUAGGUCCUGUCUUUUUUCCUAGGGUGUCAGUACUUGGGCUUGUGUGCAGGUCCUGUCUGUUUUCUGAGGGUGUCAG